rnacentral:rRNA from 1 species
AUUGAACGCUGGCGGCAUGCCUUACACAUGCAAGUCGAACGGUAACGGGCCUUCGGGUGCCGACGAGUGGCGCACGGGUGAGUAAUACAUCGGAACGUGCCCGAUCGUGGGGGAUAACGAGGCGAAAGCUUUGCUAAUACCGCAUACGGUCUACGGAUGAAAGCAGGGGACCGCAAGGCCUUGCGCGGACGGAGCGGCCGAUGGCAGAUUAGGUAGUUGGUGGGAUAAAAGCUUACCAAGCCGACGAUCUGUAGCUGGUCUGAGAGGAUGAUCAGCCACACUGGGACUGAGACACGGCCCAGACUCCUACGGGAGGCAGCAGUGGGGAAUUUUGGACAAUGGGCGCAAGCCUGAUCCAGCCAUGCCGCGUGCAGGAUGAAGGCCUUCGGGUUGUAAACUGCUUUUGUACGGAACGAAAAGCCUUCUUUUAAUACAGGAGGGUCAUGACGGUACCGUAAGAAUAAGCACCGGCUAACUACGUG